CAAACAUAUUUCAAUACAAAACAAAACCAAACUUAUUUCAUGGCGACCGUGACAUGAGUCCUGGAGGACUUAGGAAGAUAUUCGGAACCAAGGCUAAAAGGAAUCAAAGGAUUGAAAAUGCAAAAGGAAAAAUACAUCAUACGAGAAAAACGUCUGACCUCUGCCAAAACGACCACAGGUCUGCCCGACCGACUGCCCCGGACC